AUACUCUGAUUUCUCUUCAGAUUGUAUAAAUCUUUCACCUUUUGCUAAAGAUUUCCAUGGAGAGAAACAAUUUUGAGUCUUAACCCAAUUUUUUGAGGCCUUGUGUUUGCAAGGCU
rnacentral:snRNA from 1 species